rnacentral:rRNA from 1 species
AUUGAACGCUGGCGGAAUGCUUUACACAUGCAAGUCGAACGGCAGCACGGACUUCGGUCUGGUGGCGAGUGGCGAACGGGUGAGUAAUGUAUCGGAACGUGCCCAGUCGUGGGGGAUAACGUAGUGAAAAUUACGCUAAUACCGCAUACGAUCUAUGGAUGAAAGCGGGGGAUCGCAAGACCUCGCGCGAUUGGAGCGGCCGAUAUCAGAUUAGAUAGUUGGUGGGGUAAAGGCCCACCAAGCCAACGAUCUGUAGCUGGUCUGAGAGGACGACCAGCCACACUGGAACUGGGACACGGUCCAGACUCCUACGGGAGGCAGCAGUGGGGAAUUUUGGACAAUGGGCGAAAGCCUGAUCCAGCCAUUCCGCGUGCAGGAUGAAGGCCCUCGGGUUGUAAACUGCUUCUGUACAGAACGAAAAGGUUUCUACUAAUACUAGGAGCUCAUGACGGUACUGUAAGAAUAAGCACCGGCUAACUACGUGCCAGCAGCCGCCGUAA